UGGGGAAUAUUGGACAAUGGGCGAAAGCCUGAUCCAGCCAUGCCGCGUGUGUGAAGAAGGUCUUCGGAUUGUAAAGCACUUUAAGUUGGGAGGAAGGGCAUUAACCUAAUACGUUAGUGUUUUGACGUUACCGACAGAAUAAGCACCGGCUAACUCUGUGCCAGCAGCCGCGGUAAUACAGAGGGGGCAAGCGUUAAUCGGAAUUACUGGGCGUAAAGCGCGCGUAGGUGGUUUGUUAAGUUGGAUGUGAAAGCCCCGGGCUCAACCUGGGAACUGCAUCCAAAACUGGCAAGCUAGAGUACGGUAGAGGGUGGUGGAAUUUCCUGUGUAGCGGUGAAAUGCGUAGAUAUAGGAAGGAACACCAGUGGCGAAGGCGACCACCUGGACUGAUACUGACACUGAGGUGCGAAAGCGUGGGGAGCAAACA
rnacentral:rRNA from 1 species